rnacentral:rRNA from 1 species
UAUGAUUCAUGACUGGGGUGAAGUCGUAACAAGGUAACCGUAGGGGAACCUGCGGUUGGAUCACCUCCUUACCUGAAUGAAG